rnacentral:rRNA from 1 species
GACGAACCGUACGAACGUUAUUCGGAAUUACUGGGCUUAAAGGGUGCGUAGGCUGCGCGGAAAGUUGGGUGUGAAAUCCCUCGGCUCAACCGAGGAACUGCGCCCAAAACUACCGUGCUCGAGGGAGACAGAGGUGAGCGGAACUUAGGGUGGAGCGGUGAAAUGCGUUGAUAUCAUUUGGAACGCCAAUGGCGAAAGCAGGCAACUGGGGCUGUACCGACGCUGAGACACGAAAGCCAGGGGAGCGAACGGG